AGGGAGGACUACGCUGCUCACGGAGGUCGGGAGGACCUGGAAGCGCGCGAGUUUCCAGUCUGGUUCCUUGUCAAGAUUACCCAGCCCUGCCUAAGAGGCUAGGCCCCCUUUGAAGGCGUUCAACUUUAUUGGUUCCCAACUGAGCAAACAGACACGGACUCCAUUCUUCGCGGCUGCGCAGACUCUCACAAGCAAGUAGUAAACUUGAUGCCAAGCCUGGCAUAGCAGGGGAAAAAAACCUUAAAAAUAUUCGAGAAGCGAAGGCAAGGAAGAUUGCUGAAGAGUUCAAAGGCAGCACAGCCAAGUAGUAAGAUGCUGUCUCAAAACAAAAAAAGUUUGGGUUUGUCACGUUCCAGUCUGGGAACCAGGACCGCAGCGUGUUCGCGGUUUCUGUUUGUUCUGUGUCGCACGCUGUACCCAAGGAUAGUGUGGAACUCAGUCUGCAGCCUAAGACGUUUUCCCCUUAAAAACGUCUUUUCAGGAAAAAGCAAGAUUCAUGGUUUUGUAGAAAACAACUUCAUGACAAACCAAUAUGAAGCAGAAUUGGGAUUUAUUAAAAGAUAAUUUUAGCACUCUUGAGCACAGUGGCUAAUAGGUGCUCAGGGGGAAAAAACAAAACAAAACAAAACAAGAUAAAGCCCAAGGGUGAGUAUGGGUUUCUUGGCCUUUUCAAGGGAGAAUUUUGCAUAGGAGUAUUUUGCAACUGUUAUGUGUAGGCGCCUCUCCGUUGUUAUUGGUGUUUGUUUUUAAGGAAAAUUAUUCAGAGUAAUUUACAAGGUUUAAGUGGUUGUUCAGGAAGUUUGAUUUGUGGGGGUGCAGUAGCGCACACCUUAAGUCCCAGCGCACAGAAGGCAGAGGCAGAUGGAUCUCUGAGUUCAAGGCCAGCAUAUCGUCUACAGAGUUCUAGGAGAUUUAUUUGGGAGAAGUGCUGAGGAUACAGAAAGGGCUGUCAGUUACUAUUCGGUGAUAAAACACAUGGCCAAGGCAACUAUAAAAGAUUAUUUGGCGCUCACGGUUCCAGAGGGAUAGCCAUCGUUAUGGCGGUUCGGAGGUAGCGAGCAGCUAGGGCAGCAGCUGGGAGCAUAUUUCUCUAAGCACAAACAGAAAGUCUUGAGCUAACUUAAGCUGAUAGGAGUCUUUUGAAACCUCAAAGCCUGUCCUCAGUGACAUAAUUUCUCCAGCAAGGCCACACUUGCUCCUCCGCAAAUAGCCAUCAACUGGAAACAAGUGUUCAAGUGCCCAGGACUGUGAGGGGCAUCUAGUCAAACAACCACAGUAACCAUUCCUGGCAGUUCUUAGUUUUCAGUUCUGGAUAUCAAACCCAAAAACCUCAUAUAUGAUAGGCAAUCACUCCAACUGGGCUAUAUCUAGUGAGCUAUAUUCCUAGCUUUGACUUUGAUUCUAAUAUUCCAUUGUAUGUGUAUAUAUUUUAAACAAUUCAUAUCUUGGUGGGUGUCUGGUUUGGUUCUGUAACUUGUCCGUUGUGGGAGUAGUGUUGUGAUAAAAUAUGCAUAUUGUAGG
rnacentral:lncRNA from 1 species